UCUACCGAUUGGACGCUGCGGUGAAGACCUGGGAUUGAGAAGGGGGGUUUGGAGGUUUUCGGAUUUCCAGCCCCCCGUCCCGAGAACUCGUCUGAACCCCAUCGUCUAGAGGAAGAAGAAGUCGUAACAAGGUU
rnacentral:rRNA from 1 species